rnacentral:rRNA from 1 species
GACGAACUGUGCAAACGUUAUUCGGAAUCACUGGGCUUGAAGAGUGCGUAGGCGGUUUCGUAAGUAGGGUGUGAAAGCCCUCGGCUCAACCUGGGAACUGCGCUUGAAACUGCCGGUCUUGAGUAUCGGAGAGGGUGGCGGAAUUCCUGGUGUAGAGGUGAAAUUCGUAGAUAUCAGGAGGAACACCGGUGGCGAAGGCGGC